rnacentral:rRNA from 1 species
CAGUCGAACGAAACUUCUUUAUCACCGAGUGCUUGCACUCACCGAUAACGAGUUGAGUGGCGAACGGGUGAGUAACACGUGGGCAACCUGCCCAAAAGAGGGGGAUAACACUUGGAAACAGGUGCUAAUACCGCAUAACCAUAGUUACCGCAUGGUAACUAUGUAAAAGGUGGCUAUACUACCGCUUUUGGAUGGGCCCGCGGCGCAUUAGCUAGUUGGUAGGGUAAAGGCUUACCAAGGCAAUGAUGCGUAGCCGAAUUGAGAGGUUGAUCGGCCACAUUGGGACUGAGACACGGCCCAAACUCCUACGGGAGGCAGCAGUAGGGAAUCUUCCACAAUGGGCGAAAGCCUGAUGGAGCAACGCCGCGUGGGUGAAGAAGGUCUUCGGAUCGUAAAACCCUGUUGUUAGAGAAGAAAGUGCGUGAGAGUAACUGUUCACGUUUCGACGGUAUCUAACCAGAAAGCCACGGCUAACUACGUGCCAGCAGCCGCGGUAAUACGUAGGUGGCAAGCGUUAUCCGGAUUUAUUGGGCGUAAAGGGAACGCAGGCGGUCUUUUAAGUCUGAUGUGAAAGCCUUCGGCUUAACCGGAGUAGUGCAUUGGAAACUGGGAGACUUGAGUGCAGAAGAGGAGAGUGGAACUCCAUGUGUAGCGGUGAAAUGCGUAGAUAUAUGGAAGAACACCAGUGGCGAAAGCGGCUCUCUGGUCUGUAACUGACGCUGAGGUUCGAAAGCGUGGGUAGCAAACAGGAUUAGAUACCCUGGUAGUCCACGCCGUANACGAUGAAUGCUAAGUGUUGGAGGGUUNCCGCCCUUCAGUGCUGCAGCUAACG